GCGUGAGUGAAGAAGGCCCUAGGGUUGUAAAGCUCUUUCAGCGGGGAAGAUAAUGACGGUACCCGCAGAAGAAGCCCCGGCUAACUUCGUGCCAGCAGCCGCGGUAAUACGAAGGGGGCUAGCGUUGUUCGGAAUUACUGGGCGUAAAGCGCGCGUAGGCGGGUCGUUAAGUCAGGGGUGAAAUGCCGAGGCUCAACCUCGGAACUGCCUUUGAUACUGGCGACCUGGAGUUCGGGAGAGGUGAGUGGAAUUCCGAGUGUAGAGGUGAAAUUCGU
rnacentral:rRNA from 1 species